AUAAUCAAGUUAGGUCAUAUGGUUUACCCUUAUCUGAAAAACAAGGGGUCGGCAGUUCGAUUCUGCCUCUGGCCA
rnacentral:tRNA from 1 species